rnacentral:tRNA from 1 species
GCAAGCGUAGCUUAAUAUAAAGCAUAACACUGAAGCUGUUAAGAUGAGCCGUAAAAGACUCCGCAUGCA